AUGUCUUCACCGCCGCCAAGCCUGUCUCUUCUGCUGCCGGUCACCUCGUCGCCUCCGGCGACCACCACGACCGUCGCCCCGCUCCUGCCCGCGCCGGGAUCCUCCGUCGCGCCCGCCCCCGCCGUCCUCACCCCGGAGGUGUUCGGGGUGCUGCAGGACCUAACCCAGGCGGUCCAGGAGAUCCACAUGUUCUUGGCCGGGUCCUACGGGCCGCCCCCGGCUGCGCCGCCCAUCGCCGCCCCCGUGCCGCCGUGGCUGCCGCCGCACCAGGCGGCCUUCGCCAGGCCGCUGCAGCUGCCAUCCAUCGCCACCACCGCCCAACCCUGGCUGCAGUGGCAGCCGCCGCACCAGGCGGCCUUCGCCGGGCCGCUGCAGCUGCCAUCCAUCGCCACCAUCGCCCAACCCUGGCUGCAGUGGCAGCCUCCACUCCUAGCGGCCUUCGCCACGCCCGGCGCUUUGCCGCAGCAGCCGCUGCCGCUGCCCGGCGCGACACCGCAGCAGCCAUCGCCGGUCAGCUCCGCCGCCCAAUAUGGGAUGCCCUACAACGGGACUGCGACGACCUUGUUCCCAUCAGCGUCGCCGCCAUCCCAGGGCGUCCACAUCCAGCAGAUCAAGUCCCCGCCGCCGCAGUCACCGCUUCCGUCUUGGAUCGCUACCCGCCACGUGUCGAUGGCGGUGAGCCUGCAGGCUGCUGCGCGCGGCCUCCUAGCGCGUCGGCGUGUGCGGGAGAUGCGUGGUCUGCAGCUGCCGCUCCUCCAAGUUGCCCUUUGCUGCGCAAAGGACCUCGAUCUCGUCCCUUGCGUCGAGGAUCUUGGGCAUGCGGUUUCCCCCACGGGCGGCGGGCAUGCUGUUUUCCCCGUGGGCAGCGACCUCAAAGUUUGCGACAUCGGCGGUUGGGGGGGCGCACCCCUCCUCGACAUUCUCCAUCGCAAGCCCUCCACUCUUCCCUGUGCAGUGCAGACCAAAAGCCAUACACAUGCACUCCUUUUGUCCAGGUGGUGUCCAUGGAAUCCAGGUGGCUGUACACGUGCACGUCCAAAAUAA
rnacentral:rRNA from 1 species